rnacentral:rRNA from 1 species
UUGCUCUUUCAGGUUAGUGGCAGACGGGUGCGUAACACGUGAGCAAUCUACCCAACGGUCGGGGAAUAGCCGGCCCAACGGCCGGGUAAUACCGCAUGCGACCCUCGGGGGGCAUCCUCUGUGGGUGAAAGCCGCCGCAAGGUGGCGCCGGUGGAGGGGCUCGCGUCCUAUCAGCUUGUUGGUGGGGUAAUGGCCUACCAAGGCAACGACGGGUAGCUGGUCUGAGAGGAUGGCCAGCCACAUUGGGACUGAGACACGGCCCAGACUCCUACGGGAGGCAGCAGUGGGGAAUCUUGCGCAAUGGCCGCAAGGCUGACGCAGCGACGCCGCGUGUGGGAUGACGGCCCUCGGGUUGUAAACCACUGUCAGGGGGGACGAAUACGGGGCCCUGAAUAGGGGACCUCGGGUGACGGUACCUCCAGAGGAAGCACCGGCUAACUCCGUG